AGAGUUUGAUCCUGGCUCAGGAUGAACGCUAGCGGCAGGCUUAAUACAUGCAAGUCGUGGGGCAGCAGGGGUGUAGCAAUACACUCGCUGGCGACCGGCAAACGGGUGCGGAACACGUACGCAACCUACCCAAAACUGGGGAAUAGCCCGGGGAAACCCGGAUUAAUACCUCGUAACACCAUGAAGUGGCAUCACUAUAUGGUUAUAGCUCCGGCGGUUUUGGAUGGGCGUGCGCCUGAUUAGGUAGUUGGCGGGGUAACGGCCCACCAAGCCAGCGAUCAGUAACUGGUGUGAGGGCACGACCAGUCACACGGGCACUGAGACACGGGCCCGACUCCUACGGGAGGCAGCAGUAAGGAAUAUUGGUCAAUGGACGCAAGUCUGAACCAGCCAUGCCGCGUGAAGGAUGAAGGUCCUCUGGAUUGUAAACUUCUUUUAUAUGGGACGAAACCCGGGAAUUCCUUCCCGAUUGACGGUACCAUAGGAAUAAGCACCGGCUAACUCCGUGCCAGCCGCCGCGGUAAUAC
rnacentral:rRNA from 1 species